AGUUGGCAGGAAUGAGGAAUCUAUUAGAAGUGUGAUGGGAGAUCCUCCCAUGAACUCAUUUCUGGAGGCUUAUUGAUAUUCUGACCUGCUAUUC